GACGAACGCUGGCGGCGUGCUUAACACAUGCAAGUCGAACGGAAAGGCUCCAGCUUGCUGGAGUACUCGAGUGGCGAACGGGUGAGUAACACGUGGGUAAUCUGCCCUGCACUCUGGGAUAAGCCUGGGAAACUGGGUCUAAUACUGGAUAUGACCUUUCUCCUUAUGGGGUUUGGUGGAAAGUUUUUCGGUGUAGGAUGAGCCCGCGGCCUAUCAGCUUGUUGGUGGGGUGAUGGCCUACCAAGGCGACGACGGGUAGCCGGCCUGAGAGGGUGAUCGGCCACAUUGGGACUGAGAUACGGCCCAGACUCCUACGGGAGGCAGCAGUGGGGAAUAUUGCACAAUGGGCGGAAGCCUGAUGCAGCGACGCCGCGUGAGGGAUGACGGCCUUCGGGUGGUAAACCUCUUUCAGCAGGGACGAAGCGUAAGUGACGGUACCUGCAGAAGAAGCACCGGCUAACUAUGU
rnacentral:rRNA from 1 species